UCAAGUUAUUAAGGGUGCAGGGCGGAUGCCUUGGCACUAGGAGCCGAUGAAGGACGUGAUAAGCUGCGAUAAGCUUCGGGGAGUUGCACGUAAACUUUGAUCCGAAGAUUUCCGAAUGAGGAAACUCACUUAGAGUAAUGUCUAAGUAUCAUUAAGUGAAUACAUAGCUUAAUGAGGGGAACUCAGGGAACUGAAACAUCUAAGUACCUGAAGGAAGAGAAAGAAAUUCGAUUCCGUAAGUAGCGGCGAGCGAACGCGGAUUAGCCCAAACCAAUAAAGUUUUCUUUAUUGGGGUUGCGGACAUAUCAUAACGAAGAGGUAUCGUAAUUGAAGAGGUUUGGAAAGACCCACCACAGAAGGUAAUAGUCCUGUAUGUUAAACGAGAAGACUUUAGAUAUGAUCCAGAGUACCACGGGACACGUGAAACCCUGUGGGAAGCAGGAGGGACCACCCUCCAAGGCUAAAUACUACCUAGUGACCGAUAGCGUAUAGUACCGUGAGGGAAAGGUGAAAAGAACCCCGGGAGGGGAGUGAAAUAGAACCUGAAACCCUGCACUUACAAGCUGUGGAAGCACAUUUCUUGUGUGACCGCGUACUUUUUGUAGAACGGGCCAACGAGUUACGUUAAGUAGCAAGGUUAAGCACUUAAGGUGCGGAGCCGUAGCGAAAGCGAGUUUUAACUGAGCGUUCAGUUACUUGACGUAGACCCGAAACCGGGCGACCUACCCAUGAGCAGGAUGAAGCGAAAGUAAAAUUUCGUGGAGGUCCGAACCCACGAGCGUUGAAAAGCUCGGGGAUGACUUGUGGGUAGCGGUGAAAUUCCAAUCGAGCCCGGAGAUAGCUGGUUCUCCCCGAAAUAGCUUUAGGGCUAGCCUCAAGGUGAGAGAUACGGAGGUAGAGCACUGAAUGUCCUAGGGGGUAUUGCACCUACCGAAGACUAUCAAACUCCGAAUGCCGUCAUCUUAUACUUGGGAGUCAGACUGUGGGUGAUAAGAUUCAUAGUCGAAAGGGCAACAGCCCAGAUCGUCAGCUAAGGUCCCUAAAUGUAAGUUAAGUGGUAAAGGAUGUGGGAUUGCACAGACAACCAGGAUGUUGGCUUAGAAGCAGCCACUCAUUCAAAGAGUGCGUAAUAGCUCACUGGUCGAGUGAUCCUGCGCCGAAGAUUUCCGGGGCUAAAACUUACUACCGAAGCUACGGCAUCAGUAAUGAUGGGUAGGGGAGCUUCCCAUACGGGUUGAAGCAUGACCGUAAGGACAUGUGGACAGUAUGGGAGUGAGAAUGUUGGCAUGAGUAGCGAGAUGUGGGUGAGAAUCCCACAGGCCGUAAACCCAAGGUUUCCAGGGGAAGGUUCGUCCGCCCUGGGUUAGUCGGGACCUAAGCUGAGGCCGAAAGGCGUAGGUGAUGGACAACAGGUUGAUAUUCCUGUACUACCGAUAACCGUUUGAGAGAAGGGAUGACACAGUAGGAUAAGCUAAGCACACUGUUGGUUAUGUGUGCCCAAGCAUUGAGGCAGUCAAAGUAGGCAAAUCCGCUUUGAUAAUGCUGGGAUGUGAUGGGGAGCGAAAUUUAGUAGCGAAGUAGCUGAUUUCACACUGUCAAGAAAAGUCUCUAUCGAGGUUAAAGGUACCCGUACCGCAAACCGACACAGGUGGGUGAGGAGAGUAUCCUAAGGCCAGCGAGAGAACUGUUGUUAAGGAACUCGGCAAAAUGACCCCGUAACUUAGGGAUAAGGGGUGCCACCAUCAGGUGGCCGCAGAGAAUAGGCCCAAGCGACUGUUUACCAAAAACAUAGGUUUCUGCUAAGUCGCAAGACGAUGUAUAGGAGCUGACGCCUGCCCGGUGCUGGAAGGUUAAGGGGAUCUGUUAGAGCAAUCGAAGCAGUGAACUUAAGCCCCAGUAAACGGCGGCCGUAACUAUAACGGUCCUAAGGUAGCGAAAUUCCUUGUCGGGUAAGUUCCGACCCGCACGAAAGGCGUAACGAUUUGGGCACUGUCUCAACAACAGACUCGGUGAAAUUGUAAUUCCGGUGAAGAUGCCGGAUACCUGCGACAGGACGGAAAGACCCCAUGGAGCUUUACUGUAGCUUGACAUUGGGUCUUGGUACUACAUGUACAGGAUAGGUGGGAGGCUUUGAAACCAGGACGCCAGUUUUGGCGGAGCCAUCCUUGGGAUACCACCCUUGUAGUACUGGGACUCUAACCAUAGGCCAUGAAUCUGGUCUUGGGACACUGUCAGGUGGGCAGUUUGACUGGGGCGGUCGCCUCCCAAAAGGUAACGGAGGCGCUCAAAGGUUCUCUCAGUACGGUCGGAAAUCGUACGUAGAGUGUAAAGGCAAAAGAGAGCUUGAUUGCAAGACAUACAGGUCGAGCAAGGAUGAAAAUCGGACUUAGUGAUCCGGUGGUUCUGCGUGGAAGGGCCAUCGCUCAACGGAUAAAAGCUACCCUGGGGAUAACAGGCUUAUCUCCCCCAAGAGUCCACAUCGACGGGGAGGUUUGGCACCUCGAUGUCGGCUCAUCACAUCCUGGGGCUGUAGUAGGUCCCAAGGGUUGGGCUGUUCGCCCAUUAAAGUGGUACGCGAGCUGGGUUCAGAACGUCGUGAGACAGUUCGGUCCCUAUCCGUCGCAGGCGUAGGAAAUUUGAGAAGACCUGUCCUUAGUACGAGAGGACCGGGAUGGACGUACCUCUGGUGUACCAGUUGUCCUGCCAAGGGCAUGGCUGGGUAGCUAUGUAC
rnacentral:rRNA from 1 species